rnacentral:rRNA from 1 species
GACGAACGCUGGCGGCGUGCUUAACACAUGCAAGUCGAACGGAAAGGCCCUGCUUUUGUGGGGUGCUCGAGUGGCGAACGGGUGAGUAACACGUGAGUAACCUGCCCUUGACUUUGGGAUAACUUCAGGAAACUGGGGCUAAUACCGGAUAGGAGCUCCUGCUGCAUGGUGGGGGUUGGAAAGUUUCGGCGGUUGGGGAUGGACUCGCGGCUUAUCAGCUUGUUGGUGGGGUAGUGGCUUACCAAGGCUUUGACGGGUAGCCGGCCUGAGAGGGUGACCAGCCACAUUGGGACUGAGAUACGGCCCAGACUCCUACGGGAGGCAGCAGUGGGGAAUAUUGCACAAUGGGCGGAAGCCUGAUGCAGCAACGCCGCGUGCGUGAUGACGGCCUUCGGGUUGUAAACCGCUUUCGCCUGUGACGAAGCGUGAGUGACGGUAAUGGGUAAAGAAGCACCGGCUAACUACGUG